UGGUGCUGGGCCUCCGAGGCCCAGAAAUGACUGAUGAGGUUUGUGAUCGCUCAGGGCUUAGAGUCUAAUGGGGAAGCUGGCUCGUUGAUAACAUCUGAAAUGGCUUGGUCUCCGCCCUAACGGGGGUACGCUUGGCGUGCUGUAGGGGUUUAGAGGAGGGUGUGAGUCACUGCUUCAUCCAGGUGCUUUGUGCGGCUCCCGGAGGGACGGGAUACACGGCAGGGCUGGAGUUCACCAGGGACGCGGGUCUGCGCAGGGGAGGCAGGAGAUGCGAAUCUCACCCCUCACUACCCUAGGAAGGGGGAAACUGACGCCCAGAGGGGCUGGGCUACAGUCCCUCUGAACCCCGCCCAGGACUCACUCCCCCGCCGCCCCCUGCCCAGCCGGCUCUUUCCGAGCCCCUUGGGCUCUCCCCCUCCUACCGCGCGCGGGUUCCGACCCUGCAGCCGACUUCCAGGCGCUCGGAGGCCCCGCAGCCGCCGGCUCCCAGGCCCUGCUCCGCCGCCGGCCUUCUGGCCCCGCCCCCGGCGCCUCGCUUCGCCAUUGGGUGGUUCGCCAUCCUCGUCGUGGCGGAUUGGCUUCCCCAACCUGUCCGCCCCUCGUACUUCCGGGUUUUCGCGUCAGCCCCUGCUUCCCCGGGAAAGAUGCGCCGUGGGCCACUCCCAUUGGCUGGCUCCUGUGUUGGUCUCGUGCCCGCAGCGGCCAAUAAGCAACAGGCGGGGCGGUGCCCGGGCGAGAGGCGGGAGUAGUGUGCGGAAAACCCGCGCGGGCGCGGAGAUCUGCGGGUAUGAUAGAUGCCGCGGUCGGAAACUGUAAAAUGGGGACAGUGUGAUGACAGUACUUCAUAGAGUUUUAUGUGAGGGCGAAGUGAGAUCCUACAUGUCUGGCACAAAGCUGACGUUUGCUGGUGGGAUGUGAGCAAGGAGCUGCUGUCAGUCAUGCUGGGGAAACACCAACCUGAGAGUGAAGCCGACAGAGAUGAAAAUAGAAAAGAACCCAGUAUU